rnacentral:tRNA from 1 species
GCCCGCCUAGCUCAAUCGGACAGAGCGUCAGACUCUUAAUCUGAAGGCUGGGGGUUCGACUCCCCCGGUGGGCU